GAUGAACGCUGGCGGCGUGCCUAAUACAUGCAAGUCGGGCGAACAGAUAAGGAGCUUGCUCCUUUGACGUUAGCGGCGGACGGGUGAGUAACACGUGGGUAACCUACCUAUAAGACUGGGAUAACUUCGGGAAACCGGAGCUAAUACCGGAUAACAUUUGGAACCGCAUGGUUCUAAAGUGAAAGAUGGUUUUGCUAUCACUUAUAGAUGGACCCGCGCCGUAUUAGCUAGUUGGUAAGGUAACGGCUUACCAAGGCAACGAUACGUAGCCGACCUGAGAGGGUGAUCGGCCACACUGGAACUGAGACACGGUCCAGACUCCUACGGGAGGCAGCAGUAGGGAAUCUUCCGCAAAGGGCGAAAGCCUGACGGAGCAACGCCGCGUGAGUGAUGAAGGGUUUCGGCUCGUAAAACUCUGUUAUUAGGGAAGAACAAAUGUGUAAGUAACUGUGCACGUCUUGACGGUACCUAAUCAGAAAGCCACGGCUAACUACGUG
rnacentral:rRNA from 1 species